AUGAACGCUAGCUACAGGCUUAACACAUGCAAGUCGAGGGGCAGCAUGGUCUUAGCUUGCUAAGGCCGAUGGCGACCGGCGCACGGGUGAGUAACACGUAUCCAACCUGCCGUCUACUCUUGAACAGCCUUCUGAAAGGAAGAUUAAUACAAGAUGGCAUCAUGAGUCCGCAUGUUCACAUGAUUAAAGGUAUUCCGGUAGACGAUGGGGAUGCGUUCCAUUAGAUAGUAGGCGGGGUAACGGCCCACCUAGUCUUCGAUGGAUAGGGGUUCUGAGAGGAAGGUCCCCCACAUUGGAACUGAGACACGGUCCAAACUCCUACGGGAGGCAGCAGUGAGGAAUAUUGGUCAAUGGGCGAGAGCCUGAACCAGCCAAGUAGCGUGAAGGAUGACUGCCCUAUGGGUUGUAAACUUCUUUUAUAAAGGAAUAAAGUCGGGUAUGGAUACCCGUUUGCAUGUACUUUAUGAAUAAGGAUCGGCUAACUCCGUGCCAGCAGCCGCGGUAAUACGGAGGAUCCGAGCGUUAUCCGGAUUUAUUGGGUUUAAAGGGAGCGUAGAUGGAUGUUUAAGUCAGUUGUGAAAGUUUGCGGCUCAACCGUAAAAUUGCAGUUGAUACUGGAUAUCUUGAGUGCAGUUGAGGCAGGCGGAAUUCGUGGUGUAGCGGUGAAAUGCUUAGAUAUCACGAAGAACUCCGAUUGCGAAGGCAGCCUGCUAAGCUGCAACUGACAUUGAGGCUCGAAAGUGUGGGUAUCAAACAGGAUUAGAUACCCUGGUAGUCCACACGGUAAACGAUGAAUACUCGCUGUUUGCGAUAUACGGCAAGCGGCCAAGCGAAAGCGUUAAGUAUUCCACCUGGGGAGUACGCCGGCAACGGUGAAACUCAAAGGAAUUGACGGGGGCCCGCACAAGCGGUGGAGCAUGUGGUUUAAUUCGAAGCAACGCGAAGAACCUUACCAGGUCUUGACAUCCCGAUGAAAAACCCGUAACGGGGUUCCCUCUUCGGAGCAUCGGAGACAGGUGGUGCAUGGUUGUCGUCAGCUCGUGUCGUGAGAUGUUGGGUUAAGUCCCGCAACGAGCGCAACCCUUAUUCUUAGUAGCCAGCAGGUAAGGCUGGGCACUCUAAGGAGACUGCCGGGGAUAACCCGGAGGAAGGUGGGGAUGACGUCAAAUCAGCACGGCCCUUACGUCCGGGGCUACACACGUGUUACAAUGGGGGGUACAGAGGGCCGCUACCACGCGAGUGGAUGCCAAUCCCCAAAACCUCUCUCAGUUCGGACUGGAGUCUGCAACCCGACUCCACGAAGCUGGAUUCGCUAGUAAUCGCGCAUCAGCCACGGCGCGGUGAAUACGUUCCCGGGCCUUGUACACACCGCCCGUCAAGCCAUGGGAGCCGGGGGUACCUGAAGUGCGUAACCGCGAGGAGCGCCCUAGGGUAAAACUGGUGACUGGGGCU
rnacentral:rRNA from 1 species